AUUGAACGCUGGCGGCAGGCCUAACACAUGCAAGUCGAGCGGAUCGGCUGACGGGUGAGUAAUGCCUAGGAAUCUGCCUGGUAGUGGGGUAUAACGUCCGGAUACGGGCGCUAAUCCCGCAUACUAUCCGAUGAGCCUAGGUCUGAUGAGCGAGUUGGUGGGGUAAGGGCCUACCAAGGCGACGAUCCGCAACUGGUCUGAGAGGAUGAUCAGUCACACUGGAACGGGGACACGGUCCCGAAUCCGACGGGAGACAGCAUUGGAGAUGAUUGGACAAUGAGCGAAAGCCUGAUCCAGCCAUGGGGCGUGUGUGAAGAAGGUCUUCGGAGUGUAAAGCACUAUAAGUUUGGAGGCGUUACCAAAAGAAUAAGCACCGGCUAACUUCGUGCCAGCAGCCGCGGUAAUAC
rnacentral:rRNA from 1 species